rnacentral:rRNA from 1 species
AUUGAACGCUGGCGGCAGUCCUAACACAUGCAAGUCGAGCGAGCGGCGGACGGGUGAGUAAUGUCUGGGAAACUGCCUGAUGGAGGGGGACAACUACUGGAAACGGUAGCUAAUACCGCAUACCAUCAGAUGUGCCCAGAUGGAAGUAUUUAGUAGGUGGGGUAAUGGCUCACCUAGGCGGCGAUCCCUAGCUGGUCUGAGAGGAUGACCAGCCACACAGGAACUGAGAAACGGUCCAGAAUCGUACGGGAGGCAGCAGUGGGGAAGAUUGCACAAUGGGCGCAAGCCUGAUGCAGCCAUGCCGCGUGUGUGAAGAAGGCCUUCGGGUUGUAAAGCACUUUCAGCGGGGAGGCGUUACCCGCAGUAGAAGCACCGGCUAACUCCGUGCCAGCAGCCGCGGUAAUAC